ACAAUUGAGAAUUAAUAAGAAUUUUAUCCAUUUCCCUUUGAUUGUUGGAUUGGUUCUAUAUCAAUUUUGUAUCAAAGCAGGUUCGACCAUGAUUUCUUAAUGUCUCAAGACCAUGUGGCAGUUUUUCCCACCAAACACAUUCAACUGGCUACGUUUUGUUGAUUUCUUGAAGUCCAAUAACAUGAUUUUAUAGCCAAGAGUUAAUGCAAUUUGCAAGGUAACAACUUUUCUACUGAAGUCACUUUGCAAUUAAAAGACAACUGAAAAGCUAUCCUAAUGGGACACAAUCACCACAUUAAGAUGACCCUGCAGCCAACUUAACCUGAAUCUUAAAUCGGGUAGCCAUUUUCUAACAAGGAAAAAGGAAAAAGAAAACUUUUGCAUGAACGAGAGAUAGAAGAACAAAUUCAGCAAGCACUACAAGAUUUUCUCCCCACAACACUGGAAUUUGCAUGCAGCAGCAGAUUUUGUUUCCCAUAGUGCUGGAAUUUGCCAAAAAUUAAUCUGGUGCUACCUCUAUUCCUUGUGGCAUUGAAGAUUACAUCUUUUCCUUAACAAGUAGAUUCUAUGUGGGCUGAAAUUCAAAGAUUACAAGCUGA
rnacentral:misc_RNA from 1 species